rnacentral:lncRNA from 1 species
GGGGGCAUUCACCUAAUUGCCUCAUUUUCCAUAGAGCAUCUGAAACUUUCUCUAUAGUAAGAAAAGGGGAAAGUUUCUGCCAGUCCCAACUCAACCUUCCUUCCAUGCAGAUCUGGAAGUCCUCCCGCAGAAGCUGUUUCCAGCUGGCUUUGCUUUGGUUUCAAUCUCUGCAGAGGCAUGCCGGCUCCGUACCAUUCACACCUGGGUGAGGCCCCUCGACCAGUCGACAGGGACAUUCAGCCCUUCUAUCAGCAGACAGGUUGGCAGGAAAGAACAUGUGGAGUGGAGAGAAAGUUCCAGGUGUUACCUAUAUGUUCCUGUGAGGUCUCCCCAGUGAACUCAGCAGCAAUUCCAUGUAUGGAAGGAAGAUAGAUAAAGAGGCAGCAUCAAGUUCCUGGCAGGCUGGCCUGGAAUGAAGGAAGCAAUUACCUCAUGACAUUUGCCACACCAUAUGGCAGGUGGCGAUAUCUCAGGAUGUCAUCCAACGGCUCCUCCACACAGGAACUCUUCUGGUGAGUGACACUCGAGACAUGAAGCUUGUGAAGAAGUUCAAAUUCUCACAGAUGAUAUUAUCCAGAGAAAAUGGCAAGACUACAACCUGAGAACUUUGCAAGAGCCAAGCCAAGAAAGAAAUGCUGUACACAGGAAGAAGGAACUGGAAGAAGUUAGAGGCCCAACCAAAGCCAUAGACUAUGGACAAUCGCUCCAUAUUUACUUAUCUCAGAUUGAAGUAGCUAAGGAUGUAAGACCCAGGUCAGAUUGGUGCUUGAUAUUACUUCUGUCUCUGUUAUUAUUUUCAUCACAUUAAGCAUGAUUAUUCUUAUCAUGAACUUAUUAUAUGUCAGGUACUAUGCUUUCUGCUUUUCCUAGUUUAGGAUGUUUAAUGGACAUUUGCUGAAUGAAGGGAUGAGUUAAUUCUUCCAGCCAUCCUGCAGGGAUUACAGAUGGGAAGUUAAGCAUCUUGCUCAAGCUGCCACUGCAAAUAGGCCAAAAAUAAAAAAUAAAAAUCUGCC